AAAGAAAGAGGGAGGCAUGCCUAACACAUGCAAGUCGAACGAGACCUUCGGGUCUAGUGGCGCACGGGUGCGUAACGCGUGGGAACCUGCCUUUAGGUUCGGAAUAACUCAGAGAAAUUUGAGCUAAUACCGGAUGAUGUCUUCGGACCAAAGAUUUAUCGCCUUUAGAUGGGCCCGCGUUGGAUUAGCUAGUUGGUGGGGUAAAGGCCUACCAAGGCGACGAUCCAUAGCUGGUCUGAGAGGAUGAUCAGCCACACUGGGACUGAGACACGGCCCAGACUCCUACGGGAGGCAGCAGUGGGGAAUAUUGGACAAUGGGCGAAAGCCUGAUCCAGCAAUGCCGCGUGAGUGAUGAAGGCCUUAGGGUUGUAAAGCUCUUUUACCCGAGAUGAUAAUGACAGUAUCGGGAGAAUAAGCGCCGGCUAACUCCGUG
rnacentral:rRNA from 1 species